rnacentral:rRNA from 1 species
AGUCGAGCGGACCGAAGGGAGCUUGCUCUUUUAGGUUAGCGGCGGACGGGUGAGUAACACGUGGGCAACCUGCCCUGCAGACUGGGAUAACUUCGGGAAACCGGAGCUAAUACCGGAUAACACCGAAAACCGCAUGGUUUUCGGUUGAAAGGCGGCUUUUAGCUGUCACUGCAGGAUGGGCCCGCGGCGCAUUAGCUAGUUGGUGAGGUAACGGCUCACCAAGGCGACGAUGCGUAGCCGACCUGAGAGGGUGACCGGCCACACUGGGACCGAGACACGGCCCAGACUCCUACGGGAGGCAGCAGUAGGGAAUCUUCCGCAAUGGACGAAAGUCUGACGGAGCAACGCCGCGUGAGCGAAGAAGGUCUUCGGAUCGUAAAGCUCUGUUGUCAGGGAAGAACAAGUACCGUUCGGACAGGGCGGUACCUUGACGGUACCUGACGAGGAAGCCACGGCUAACUACGUGCCAGCAGCCGCGGUAAUACGUAGGUGGCAAGCGUUGUCCGGAAUUAUUGGGCGUAAAGCGCGCGCAGGCGGUUCCUUAAGUCUGAUGUGAAAUCUCGCGGCUCAACCGCGAGCGGCCAUUGG